AACGUAGGACACAAGCGUUAUCCGGAGUUACUGGGCGUAAAGGGCGUUUAGGCGGGUGAUUAAGUUCGCUAUGAAAGCGCCGGGCUAAACUCGGCGAGGCUGGCGGAUACUGGUCAUCUGGAGUGAGUCAGAGGAAGGUAGAAUUCCGCGUGUAGUGGUGAAAUGCGUAGAGAUGCGGAGGAAUACCAGUGGCGAAGGCGGCCUUCUGGGACUCAACUGACGCUGAAGCGCGAAAGCACGGGGAGCGAACGGG
rnacentral:rRNA from 1 species